rnacentral:rRNA from 1 species
CUACGUGCCAGCAGCCGCGGUAAUACGGAAGGUCCGGGCGUUAUCCGGAUUUAUUGGGUUUAAAGGGAGCGUAGGCCGGAGAUUAAGUGUGUUGUGAAAUGUAGACGCUCAACGUCUGACUUGCAGCGCAUACUGGUUUCCUUGAGUACGCACAACGUUGGCGGAAUUCGUCGUGUAGCGGUGAAAUGCUUAGAUAUGACGAAGAACUCCGAUUGCGAAGGCAGCUGACGGGAGCGCAACUGACGCUUAAGCUCGAAGGUGCGGGUAUCAAACAGGAUUAGAUACCCUGGUAGUCCGCACAGUAAACGAUGGAUGCCCGCUGUUGGUACCUGGUAUCAGCGGCUAAGCGAAAGCAUUAAGCAUCCCACCUGGGGAGUACGCCGGCAACGGUGAAACUCAAAGGAAUUGACGGGGGCCCGCACAAGCGGAGGAACAUGUGGUUUAACUCGAUGAUACGCGAGGAACCUUACCCGGGCUUGAA